CUAACUCAAAUUUGUAUGGAUUUGGAACAGCGCCCCUAGCGGCAAACGAAGGGAAGCUGUUCUAGCUCCAUACAAAUUUGAGUUA
rfam:Bombyx mori DNA, contig: Bm_scaf16_contig12152, strain: p50T/Dazao, build 2, whole genome shotgun sequence.